UACGUAGGGUGCAAGCGUUAAUCGGAAUUACUGGGCGUAAAGCGUGCGCAGGCGGUUCUGUAAGACAGGUGUGAAAUCCCCGGGCUUAACCUGGGAACUGCAUUUGUGACUGCAUAGCUAGAGUACGGUAGAGGGGGAUGGAAUUCCGCGUGUAGCAGUGAAAUGCGUAGAUAUCUGGAGGAAUACCGGUGGCGAAGGCGGCAUCCUGGACCAUUACUGACGCUGAGGCGCGAAAGCUAGGGGAGCAAACGGG
rnacentral:rRNA from 1 species